UACGUAGGGUGCGAGCGUUGUCCGGAUUUACUGGGCGUAAAGGGCGCGUAGGCGGCCAGCGCAAGUCAGUUGUGAAAUCUCCGGGCUUAACUCGGAAAGGUCAACUGAUACUGCGCGGCUAGAGUGCAGAAGGGGCAACUGGAAUUCUCGGUGUAGCGGUGAAAUGCGUAGAUAUCGAGAGGAACACCUGCGGCGAAGGCGGGUUGCUGGGCCAACACUGACGCUGAUGCGCGAAAGCUAGGGUAGCAAACGGG
rnacentral:rRNA from 1 species